CUGAAACGAAAACAAGCUUCAGAAUGAUCAGCUGUGUCAGUUCCAUUUAAUUGCAAAUUUGGACAGGCUCUGUGGAGUGAAGUACAGAAUGUUUCUUGCCUUGGGCAUUGAUAUUAUAUUAGAAUAAAAGCAACCUGAGAGGCAUUUGUUUCUGUGGGAAGUGCGUGCAUGGGCAAAUCUCUGCUCAUCAGAUUGUUUUGAAUUAAUGUGGAAGCUAUAAAUAAAGCGUUCUCCAUUUUUUUGGACCGGCUUUGAUCUAUUGUUAUCUCUCCCUUUUUAGAAUCCUUUAAAGGCAAUUUCCAUUCAGAUCCUUCAUCAGUGAAGCAGACGGACUUCAAUAAUUCUCAAAAACCUCCGUUGUUCUCUGCACACAAGCCCCAUGUCAAUCAACCGAGCAGCCCUCUCUCCUGGAUGGCUGUCCCUUAACGCCCCUGGAGAAUAGAGGAUGGAUGGACGGACUAGGCUGCACUAGCUGGGACAGGCGUGAAAUGUGAGGAGGAUAGCCAGUUUGACUGACGUUUUCCUCCUGUGUUAAGGUUAUUGAGUAAUUGUGAUAGAAUUACUGCAGUCACAAUUCUUACGUGCCCUGGAGGAAGGGGCACAAAAGAGAUGUGUCUCCUUGUGGGGUGAGGGGUGUGAUCCAGAAUCCUUGCCUCCAGUUUGGUCAUCAAUAAUGGAGUCCUCUGACAGCCUACAUUUCUGCAAUUGCUAAAAGCCACGUGCGAAAGAUAACGUGAGUUUCUAUUGUGGCAAGACAGUCAAAAGUCCAAAGUAAUUGGGCAUUAGUGUGCCAAAUAGUAUAUGGAAGGAAGUGUGGUAGGGAGAAGAGAAUGACCAUCCUUCGAAUAUCAGUUCUGCCUCCUACUUGCUUUGGAGCAUGAACCCCUCUGAGAUUUAAUUUCCUCUAUAUAAAAUCAGAGUUAUCAUGUUUUAUCAUAAGGUAAUCAUAUGUUUUAGAAAUCUGCUAUGGAGAGUGCCUGGAUUAAUGUCUGGUCCAUGGAAGGUAUUGCUCCUCCUUCUCUUCCUCCUCUUCUUCAUCAACAUCCUCUACAUCUUCAUCAUUAUCAUCAUCAUCAUCAUCAUCGUUUCUUCUUAGAGAGAAGAACAAUAAUAUGGUGGACAUAGGCCAUAUUUCCCUUUUAUGGAAAAGAGGACUCCAGCUAUUCUUUCCGUGGGACAUUGUAGGGAAAAAGAACAUUUUCCCCCAGGAUUCUCAGUUCUAGAGAAGAAUGGAAAAUUCCUUGGAGGUCCAGAUUCUUGCGGACUUUCCAAGGCUGAGUGGAUAAUAGUAGUUUUCACAAAGACUUAAAGGCCCAGAGGCUACAGAGCGGGGUUUGCAAAUGCAGUAUUUGUUCCCUGUCCUGUGAACAGCAUGGGCUCUGAUUUCAUGGAAUUGGAAGACCCGCAUGUCAUAAACAUCCUUUCCACUCCAAAUGGAAUGCCAGGGAGGGUUAGAGAAGCAAUGUGGAUGAAGCGGUAAGCCGUGGACCAUGAAAACAGAUUCACACGGAAUCAAAUUCUGAUUCUGCCACAUAAGAGUUGUGGGGCCCUUAUCAUCUCUAAACCUCAGCAUCCUAUUCCAAAAACAUGGGUAGGAUAGUUCUCACUUCAUAGAAAAUAAUAUUCUUGCUCAAUUUUCACAAGGAUUUACAACAAACUCCCAGAGAGGAGGGAUGUGUUCGGUGGGAGGAACUCGUCAACUGAAAAUGCUCUUAAAACUAGAGGCUAUAAGAUGCUGAGAGCCACGAUCACUAUGUUGCCUCAGGUCAGAGUUGAAUAACAUCGACAGAAUAAUCUUUCUUUCUUCUUUCAAAGUGGUGGUUGCUCUGUGUGAGACUGGAGGGAGGCCUGGAGGGAGGUCUACACCAAGGAUAUGAGUUUAAUGUAGCUGCUUCCAAACACAAGGACCCAAGAGCCACAAAGCAAAAUGACAGAGGAGUCAGAAGGGUUUACACACUCAGGAGGAGACUCAAGGCCCUGUGUCAGUUCACAAAAGACAAUGCAAGACACUCUCAGGCCAAAACAGGAGGAUUAGGAAGAAGGUAGGUCCCAUAGAUUUUCAUGUUUAGGACGGAGUCAGAAACCGUUGCUUGCUUGUCUCUUUCGACCCUUUGGUACUUCCAGGCUCACGUGCCAGGGGAAGCAGGGGCUGCCUACGGAUUUACAGACUCCUCAUUCUUGCUACAGCCCAUGCCAAGGAAACAUCCAGGAGAGGUCAACGGGGCAUUGCGCUUCAGUGAAGUUAGCUAAUGCUAUAAUGUUCAGCAACAGCCUGCCUAUGCACAAGUGCAUCCUCCAACAGUUAUCAGGCCUACAGAAGUGAGGAAAGGUCAUGUGAGGACAUACCAAGAAAACAGCCAUCCACAGCCAUCCACAUCCAGGAAGAGAAGCCUCAGCAGAAACCAAUCCUGACGGCACCUUGGUCAUGGACUUCUGCCCUCUAGAACUGUGUGGGGGAAAAAAAACGUCUGUUGUUUAAGUCACCCGGUCUGUGGCGUUUUGUUAUGGCAGCCUGAACAGACUAAUGCAGCCAGGCACGCUAGUCCAAGCAUGAGCGACGGGGCAGUGAGCAGACAGACGAGGUCUCCACGCUCACAGAGCUUACACGCUAGUGGGAAAGGAGCCUGAUGCUUCGAUUCCUCCCACCCAAGGGUAGUAAGUGGCUUGUUGCUUUUUCUGGGUGGACAUUUUCUAGGUUCCUUUACUCCAAUUUGGUUUGUCAGAUUCUUUUCAGUCCUUGUGUAACCUCUUCCAAAUCAGUGACUUUCUUCUUUUGAAAAUACUGGAAGUGUUUUCUAUUGCCUGACUGGACCUAAGGAAUAAAGUGUGUUUUCCAGCGUGA